rnacentral:rRNA from 1 species
UACGUAGGGUGCAAGCGUUGUCCGGAAUUAUUGGGCGUAAAGAGCUCGUAGGCGGUUUGUCGCGUCUGCUGUGAAAACUCGGGGCUUAACCCUGGGCCUGCAGUGGGUACGGGCAGACUAGAGUUCGGUAGGGGAGACUGGAAUUCCUGGUGUAGCGGUGAAAUGCGCAGAUAUCAGGAGGAACACCGGUGGCGAAGGCGGGUCUCUGGGCCGAUACUGACGCUGAGGAGCGAAAGCGUGGGGAGCGAACAGG